ACUCAAAUGAAUUGACGGGGACCCGCACAAGCAGCGGAGCAUGUGGUUUAAUUCGAAGCAACGCGAAAAACCUUACCAAGGCUUGACAUCGCCUGAAUAGCGCAGAGAUGCGUGAAGCUGUAGCAAUACAGCAGGUAGACAGGUGGUGCAUGGUUGUCGUCAGCUCGUGUCGUGAGAUGUUAGGUUAAGUCCUGCAACGAGCGCAACCCUUAUGAACAGUUGCCAAUAUUAAGUUAGGAACUCUGUUCAGACUGCCGUGGUUAACACGGAGGAAGGUGGGGACGACGUCAAAUCAUCACGCCCCUUACGUCUUGGGCUACACACGUGCUACAAUGGUCGGUACAAAGAGUCGCAAAAUAGCAAUAUCGAGCCAAUCUCAGAAAACCGAUCUCAGUUCAGAUUGUGGGCUGCAACCCGCCCACAUGAAGCAGGAGUUGCUAGUAAUCGUGAAUCAGCACGUCACGGUGAAUGCGUUCCCGGGUCUUGCACACACCGCCCGU
rnacentral:rRNA from 1 species